GGGAAAUUAAAAAACCCCAAAAACAUAAAGUUUGGUCCUAUACUUGCUGCUCUUUUUGAUCAAAAUUAUCAUGCAAGCAUCAGCACACCUGUGAAAAUGCCCAACCCAAACUAAAAAGGAGCAGGUUCAGGCACGACCUUCAGCCCAAAACACCUUGCUAUGCCACACCCACACGGGUAUUCAGGCAGUAAUAAAUAUUAAGCCAUGAGCGAAUAAGCCAUAUUAAAGCUCGACUUAUUAUGAUAUAUUGGGCCGGUUAACCUCGUGCCAGCCACCGCGGUUAUACGAGGGGCCCAAAACAGCAGACAUCGGCGUAAAUUGGGCUAGAGCAACUACCAUAAACAAGGAGAACAAACUUAGCCCUAACCGUAAAACACAGGGUAAAUGAAAUCUAUCUCUCCUAUACACGGUUACUUGAACCCACGAAGACUAAAAACAAACUAGAUUAAUACCCUACUAUGCUUAGUGUAACAAGACACUACAAAAAUUCGUCCGAGAAUUCGCGAAAUAAACUAAGGACUGGCGGCUGACUAAUUAAGACCGCUAAAGAANCUGGU
rnacentral:rRNA from 1 species